rnacentral:rRNA from 1 species
GGGGAAUCUUCCGCAAUGGGCGAAAGCCUGACGGAGCAACGCCGCGUGAGUGAAGAAGGUCUUCGGAUCGUAAAGCUCUGUUGUCGGGGACGAAUGUUGAGAUCUAGAAUAUAGAUUUCAAAUGACGGUACCUGACGAGGAAGCCACGGCUAACUACGUGCCAGCAGCCGCGGUAAUACGUAGGUGGCGAGCGUUGUCCGGAAUUAUUGGGCGUAAAGGGAGCGCAGGCGGGAAGGUAAGUCUAUCUUAAAAGUGCGGGGCUCAACCCCGUGAGGGGAUAGAAACUAUUUUUCUUGAGUGCAGGAGAGGAAAGCGGAAUUCCUAGUGUAGCGGUGAAAUGCGUAGAUAUUAGGAGGAACACCAGUGGCGAAGGCGGCUUUCUGGACUGUAACUGACGCUGAGGCUCGAAAGCCAGGGGAGCGAAC